GCUUAACACAUGCAAGUCGAGGGGUAACAGGGUGUAUCAAUACACCGCUGACGACCGGCGCACGGGUGAGUAACGCGUAUGCAACCUGCCUUUGACAGAGGGAUAGCCCAUGGAAACGUGGAUUAAUACCUCAUAGUCUCUUUUUUCUUCCUGGGAAAUAGAGUAAAACGUCAGUGGUCAAAGAUGGGCAUGCGUCCUAUUAGGCAGUUGGCGGGGUAACGGCCCACCAAACCGAUGAUAGGUAGGGGUUCUGAGAGGAAGGUCCCCCACACUGGUACUGAGACACGGACCAGACUCCUACGGGAGGCAGCAGUGAGGAAUAUUGGUCAAUGGUCGAGAGACUGAACCAGCCAAGUCGCGUGAGGGAAGACUGCCCUAUGGGUUGUAAACCUCUUUUCUACUGGGAGAAUAAGCCUUAUGUAUAAGGUGAUGACAGUACAGUAGGAAUAAGGAUCGGCUAAACUCCGUGCCAGCAGCCGCGGUAUUAGGGAGGAUGCGAGCGUUAUCCGGAUUUUAUUGGUUUAAAGGGUGCUUAGGCGGCUUUAUAAGUUAGUGGUAAAAUUCGGGAGCUUCACUCCGGUCCGCCAUUAAAACUGUAGAGCUAGAGAAUGGACGAGGUAGGCGGAGUAAGUUAAGUAGCGGUGAAAUGCAUAGAUAUAACUUAGAACUCCGAUAGCGAAGGCAGCUUACCAGACCAUAACUGACGCUGAUGCACGAGAGCGUGGGUAGCGAACAGGAUUAGAUACCCUGGUAGUCCACGCCGUAAACGAUGCUCACCGGCCCUUAGCGAUAAGACAGUUAGGGGUUAAUUGAAAGAAUUAAGUGAGCCACCUGGGGAGUACGUCGGCAACGAUGAAACUCAAAGGAAUUGACGGGGGCCCGCACAAGCGGAGGAACAUGUGGUUUAAUUCGAUGAUACGCGAGGAACCUUACCUGGGUUUAAAUGUAUAUUGCAUAAUCUGGAAACAGUUUUUCUCUUCGGAGCUAUAUACAAGGUGCUGCAUGGUUGUCGUCAGCUCGUGCCGUGAGGUGUCGGGAUAAGUCCCAUAACGAGCGCAACCCUUACCGUUAGUUGCUAGCAUGUAAUGAUGAGCACUCUAGCGGGACUGCCACCGUAAGGUGAGAGGAAGGGGGGGAUGACGUCAAAUCAGCACGGCCCUUACAUCCAGGGCGACACACGUGUUACAAUGGCCAUAACAGCGGGUAGCUACCGGGUGACCGGAUGCAAAUCUCGAAAAUUGGUCUAAGUUCGGAUUGGAGUCUGCAACCCGACUCCAUGAAGUUGGAUUCGCUAGUAAUCGCGCAUCAGCCAUGGCGCGGUGAAUACGUUCCCGGGCCUUGUACACACCGCCCGUCAAGCCAUGGAAGCUGGGAGUACCUGAAGUCCGUAACCGCGAGGAUCGGCCUAGGGUAAUACCGGUAACU
rnacentral:rRNA from 1 species